UACGGGGGGGGCAAGCGUUGUUCGGAUUUACUGGGCGUAAAGGGCGCGUAGGCGGUCAGCACAAGUCAAUUGUGAAAUCUCCGAGCUUAACUCGGAAAGGUCAACUGAAACUGUGCGACUAGAGUGCGGAAGGGGCAACUGGAAUUCUUGGUGUAGCGGUGAAAUGCGUAGAUAUCAAGAGGAACACCUGCGGCGAAGGCGGGUUGCUGGGCCGACACUGACGCUGAAGCGCGAAAGCCAGGGGAGCGAACGGG
rnacentral:rRNA from 1 species